rnacentral:rRNA from 1 species
AGUCGAACGAAGAAUAGCUUCGGUUAUUCUUAGUGGCGGACGGGUGAGUAACGCGUGAGUAACCUGCCUUACAGAGGGGGAUAACAGUUGGAAACGACUGCUAAUACCGCAUGACAUAUCUUAGCUGCAUGGCUUAGAUAUCAAAGGAGCAAUCCGCUGUAAGAUGGACUCGCGUCCAAUUAGCUAGUUGGUAAGGUAACGGCCCACCAAGGCGACGAUUGGUAGCCGGACUGAGAGGUUGAACGGCCACAUUGGGACUGAGACACGGCCCAGACUCCUACGGAAGGCAGCAGUGGGGAAUAUUGCACAAUGGGGGAAACCCUGAUGCAGCGACGCCGCGUGAGGGAAGAAGGUUUUCGGAUUGUAAACCUCUGUCCUUGGUGACGAUAAUGACGGUAGCCAAGGAGGAAGCCACGGCUAACUACGUGCCAGCAGCCGCGGUAAUACGUAGGUGGCAAGCGUUGUCCGGAAUUACUGGGUGUAAAGGGAGCGUAGGCGGGGGAUCAAGUUGAAUGUGAAAGCUAUGGGCUCAACCCAUACGAGCGUUCAAAACUGGUUCUCUUGAGUGAAGUAGAGGCAGGCGGAAUUCCUAGUGUAGCGGUGAAAUGCGUAAAUAUUAGGAGGAACACCAGUGGCGAAGGCGGCCUGCUGGGCUUUAACUGACGCUGAGGCUCGAAAGCGUGGGUAGCAAACAGGAUUAGAUACCCUGGUAGUCCACGCUGUAAACGAUGAUUACUAGGUGUGGGGGGACUGACCCCUUCCGUGCCGCAGUUAACACAAUAAGUAAUCCACCUGAGGAGUACGACCGCAAGGUUGAAACUCAAAGGAAUUGACGGGGGCCCGCACAAGCAGUGGAGUAUGUGGUUUAAUUCGACGCAACGCGAAGAACCUUACCAGGUCUUGACAUCUUUUGACCACCUAAGAGAUUAGGUUUUCCCUUCGGGGACAGAAUGACAGGUGGUGCAUGGUUGUCGUCAGCUCGUGUCGUGAGAUGUUGGGUUAAGUCCCGCAACGAGCGCAACCCUUGUUGUUAGUUGCUACGCAAGAGCACUCUAAUGAGACUGCCGUUGACAAAACGGAGGAAGGUGGGGAUGACGUCAAAUCAUCAUGCCCCUUAUGACCUGGGCUACACACGUACUACAAUGGCCGUAAAACAGAGGGAAGCAAUGCCGCGAGGCAAAGCAAAACCCGAAAAACGGUCUCAGUUCAGAUUGCAGGCUGCAACUCGCCUGUAUGAAGUCGGAAUUGCUAGUAAUCGCAGAUCAGCAUGCUGCGGUGAAUACGUUCCCGGGCCUUGUACACACCGCCCGUCACACCAUGAGAGUUGGCAACACCCGAAGUCGGUAGUCUAACCGUAAGGAGGACGCCGCCGAA